rnacentral:ncRNA from 2 species
AUUACUGGAUGAGGCGCAAAAAUCAUCAGUACCUAUUGCAACACGACCUGUAAGUCGGCAUAGGGAAAGGGAAAUUUGCCGAAAUGGUUCACUUUUUACAUGGGAGUGAAUUGUUGGGCUGCAUAUGAACAAUAUGCAGACUGCCGUGUAGCUUUUGCUUGACGGAGUGCUUCCACUUGU